rnacentral:lncRNA from 1 species
CUCCUUCGGCGAAACCUCUGUCUCUUUCUCCAGCGAAUGACGGGGAUGAGGUCCUGUUCGGGUGUCUGGAGUAAAUCCCUCUCAUCCGACUCAUUAAAGAAACAUUAUUCGUCCAGUUCAAGAUCCGAUACCUGACCCUCUGCUGUGGCCAGGACCUGGGCUCAGGAAUCAGACGAAUUCUGAGAAAAAUUGGAACAGUGGAGCUGUGGACAGGCUACUCCUUGAAGGGCAGGAAGGGGAAGAGGGCCUUCAAUGAGCUAUCAAUCUAUGAUGCCGUCACAAGAGCGGGUCGAGGAAGCGACAGUGGAUGAGGAUGGAGCUGCAGCACCUGAAUUAACUUUUAGCUUUAAGCAGUUUUACAGUUCUUGAUUGGAGUGCAGUGUUCAUGUUUUUACUGACUUGUUUUUUGUGAUCUUAUUGCUGUCAUUUUGGCCUGAUUCACACAAUCUCCUCUGCACAGUUGAUGUUGAGAUGUGUCUUGUACUUGAGCUCUGUGAAGCAUUUAUUUGGGCUGCAAUUUCUGAGGCUGGUAACUCUUUUGAACUUAUCCUCUGCAGAAGAGGUAACUCUGGGUCUUCC